UCAGGAUGAACGCUGGCGGCGUGCUUAACACAUGCAAGUCGAACGGAGUAUUACGAAAGCUUGCUUUGUUUAACUUAGUGGCGGACGGGUGGGUAACGCGUGAGGAACCUGCCCUUUAGUGGGGAAUAACACCGAGAAAUCGGUGCUAAUACCGCAUAAUGUCGGGAAACCGCAUGAUUUUCCGACCAAAGGAUUUAUUCGCUUAAGGAUGGCCUCGCGUCCGAUUAGGCAGUUGGUGGGGUAACGGCCCACCAAACCAACGAUCGGUAGCCGAACUGAGAGGUUGAUCGGCCACAUUGGGACUGAGACACGGCCCAGACUCCUACGGGAGGCAGCAGUGGGGAAUAUUGGGCAAUGGGCGAAAGCCCUGACCCAGCAACGCCGCGUGAAGGAUGACGGUCUUAGGAUUGUAAACUUCUUUAAUCGGGGAAGAAUAAAUGACCUACCCGAAGAAUAAGCCACGGCUAACUACGUGCCAGCAGCCGC
rnacentral:rRNA from 1 species